GUACAACACUGAAUAGUAGCAGGUGGACAGAGGCCCCUUCCUGAGUCAGCCUUUUAUACAGUUUGCUUUCUUCUCUGGGUUCACCAGUGGGUGAGAUAAUUACUUCAUUAGCUCAUCAGGCUCCCUGCAGGGUCAUUUAAAAAGCAGCAGCAUUCCUAAACAGAAGUUUUGGGGAGCAGAAACAUGGCUGAUGCCAUACCCAAAAUAAGUGAAGGACACAGGAUGUGUGUGGAAAAAGUAGCUACCCUUACUCAUGAGUAAUACCUUACUUCUCAAGUAAUCAACAGAACUAAGAGUAAGCUACUGAAUGAGUUGUACAUGUCCUGGAACUGCAUGAAUGUCCUUUUCAAGCAUAGGCCAACAAAAAUAUACCAACUGGUUUGGAAAAAAUAAGAAUAAACCCAAGUUCAAAUUGACCAGAAACCCAGCCUUUUGUAAAGUCUGAAAAUUUUUGGAUCCAUAUUCCACCCUCAACCGCUACAUUUAAUUUUCAUUUGUUUCUACAUUUCCUUGCACAUGCCUAAAAAGCUUCCUAAAAUAUCGCCACGCUAAUGUUUCCUGCUUAGUCAGUUAGUAGUGGGGUUUUGGGGGAUGUGUGGUUUUUUGCACUGAA